GCAGCUACACAUGCAGUCGAGCGGGGAGAGUAGCUUGCUACCUGACCUAGCGGCGGACGGGUGAGUAAUGCUUAGGAAUCUGCCUAUUAGUGGGGGACAACAUUCCGAAAGGAAUGCUAAUACCGCAUACGCCCUACGGGGGAAAGCAGGGGAUCUUCGGACCUUGCGCUAAUAGAUGAGCCUAAGUCAGAUUAGCUAGUUGGUGGGGUAAAGGCCUACCAAGGCGACGAUCUGUAGCGGGUCUGAGAGGAUGAUCCGCCACACUGGGACUGAGACACGGCCCAGACUCCUACGGGAGGCAGCAGUGGGGAAUAUUGGACAAUGGGCGAAAGCCUGAUCCAGCCAUGCCGCGUGUGUGAAGAAGGCCUUUUGGUUGUAAAGCACUUUAAGCGAGGAGGAGGCUACUUAGAUUAAUACUCUAGGAUAGUGGACGUUACUCGCAGAAUAAGCACCGGCUAACUCUGUGCCAGCAGCCGCGGUAAUACAGAGGGUGCGAGCGUUAAUCGGAUUUA
rnacentral:rRNA from 2 species